UUGGAGGGCAAGUCUGGUGCCAGCAGCCGCGGUAAUUCCAGCUCCAAUAGCGUAUAUUAAAGUUGUUACAGUUAAAAAGCUCGUAGUUGAAUUUCGGGGUUCUUCCGUUGGUCAGGCUAACAAGUCUGUACUAGCGUGUAGAAUCUCUACCUUCUGGGGAACCAUCAUGUUAUUAAUUUAGCGUGGUGGGAAACCAGGACCUUUACCUUGAAAAAAUUAGAGUGUUCAAAGCAGGCUUACGUCUGAAUACAUUAGCAUGGAAUAAUAAAAUAGGACGGUGGUCCUGUUUUGUUGGUUUCUGAAUCACCGUAAUGAUUAAUAGGGAUAGUUGGGGGCAUUAGUAUUCAAUUGUCAGAGGUGAAAUUCUUGGAUUUAUUGAAGACUAACUUCUGCGAAAGCAUUUGCCAAGGAUGUUUUCAUUAAUCAAGAACGAAAGUUAGGGGAUCGAAGACGAUCAGAUACCGUCGUAGUCUUAACCAUAAACUAUGCCGACUAGGGAUCGGACGAUGUUAAAUUUUAUUGACUCGUUCGGCGCCUUACGGGAAAC
rnacentral:rRNA from 1 species